rnacentral:tRNA from 1 species
GCCUCUUUAGCUCAGUGGUUAGAGCGCUGGUCUCGUAAACCAGCGGUCAUAGGUUCGACUCCUAUAUGAGGCA